rnacentral:lncRNA from 1 species
CGCAGAAGUUUAAACCUUGAGAUUGAGAAGGCUGGACUGGUAAGUUUUUUUUAGGGUACAAUAGUAGGCACAUUAUUCAUACGCUGCAACGCUCACACCACAUGCACAUACACUUGUGCGUGUCCGCAAGUCGAAGGUCAAAAACUAAAUGGUUCUCGUUUGCUGAAUGUGAAGAAAAAAAGAGAGAAAAAAUAGAUUUGAAGAUGCUGUUCUAUUACGGAGGUACUCCAAUUUCAAGCCAGUCGUCCCGUCGUUCUCGAAGGUACAUACUGCUAGUACAAUGGCC